UUUAAAAGAGAGAGGGGAGGUGGGGGUGGGGGUGGAGAUACUGAGACCGAGAAAGCCCCAAGCUGAUCCACGCGGCAAACUUGUAGGGUUUGAAGGGUUUGCUAUUUAUCUCAAAGCGCCCGCCUGACACACCUGAGGAGAGAGUGGCCCAACUGUAAGGAUAGGAAAAUUUGGCAGAGAUCUGUGCAUGUUUUCAGCUUUUAAAACUUACGAAAAGCAAUCAGAAGCAGGACACGACUGUCUAUUUGUUAUAGAGGAAGAAACAUCAGUGAGAGAGGACUUGAGGGAUGUACCCAUGGAAGAUCCGGACAUCACAUCAUAUGUGGACGGUAGUGCAUCUAUUGGACCGCGGGGAUUCCCGUGGCUCAUUUGAUGGUACUGUUGCCUUUGCGUCAGAUAAUGUAAGCGAGUACAUGAUGAUCAGAGUGGACUCGGUGGGAUGAAGCUUUUGUUCCCAUGCUCUAUGGCUCUACGACCCUAUGAUGUCCUGGACAUCAUUUUUCGCUUACUCAACGUUACAAAACUAAAGACGUGUGCAACCAUCUGCAUUAUUGGACUGCUGUUUAUAGGAACAAAAAUUGAUGUUUAUGUUUCCUACAUUGCAAUUCAACAUUGGGAGCAUGGUUAACCUACACAAUCUUGUUUUCACACAGAAGGAAGAUUCUGAAGAGCAGUUGAAAGGGAACCACUUCUUUGUCUCAUUGUUUUGCCCGCAGAUUUCAGGGCAUAAAAUACACAAAAAAACUGUGUUGAACAAAGCAGAACAAUGAAAUAAUGCGUCUGAAACGUUCACGAGCGACGCGUCCUAGUUGUGAUUUGCUGCCCUCUUUCCUGAUUUUCAGUGGAGUUGCGGGGUAAAUUUCCUUUUAUUAUCCACGUCGAGAUACGGAAAGAUCGAUAUCUUGUCAGCAGGAAGGCUUGAGAAUUAACAGCAGCAUUUUCUGAUUCUCAUUCCAUUAAAAUUAUUAACAGUAUAAAAAGUCCAAUGUGAAACUCCCAACUAACUCUUCUGUUCCGGCAAUGAUGAAGAUCAAAUCUCUUAACUCCUCUGCUGAUUAUGCCCAUGUUGAUGUUCAAACACAGUUCCACCAAUGCACCCUCUUCCACCCACCCAGCCCCCCUUCUCAAUACCAUACUGGCAGUGUCCUAUACACCACCGAGGCAGAACUUAGAUCUGCUUCCCGGAUGGUAAAUUCACGAAAGCAGCCAGCCCUGGUAGACAGCCUGACACCUUUUCAUCUGCACGCUUUAACAGUCAUUUGCUUCAGGGAAACCUGCAACAUUCCAUUCCCCAAUAAAAGUGGUGACCUGUCUCAACAAGUAAGGUCCAGUAGCUCUAGAGUCGGCCAUAAUAAAAUGCUCAGAAGGAUUGGUAAUGGCCCAUGUUUAUCAGGUCAUAUGGGAUUGGAGUAGAAUUAGGCCAUUCGGCCCAAAGUCUACUCCGCCAUUCAAUCAUGGCUGAUCUAUCUCUCUCUCCUAACCCCAUUCUCCUGCCUUCUCCCCAUAACCUCUGACACCCGUACUAAUCAAGAAUCUAUCUACCUCUGCCUUGAAAAUGUCCACUGACGGCCUCCACAGCCUUCUGUGGCAAAAAUUUCCACAGAUUCACCACCCUCUGACUAAAAGAAUUUCUCCUCAUCUCCUUCCUAAAAGAACGUCCUUUAAUUCUGAGGCCAUGAGGUCUAGUCCUAGACUCUCCCACUAGUGGAAACAUCCUCUCCACAUCCACUGUAUUCAAGCCUUUCACUAUUCAAUAUGUUCAGCUGUGGCAAUAAGAACACCUAUAUCAGGAUGCUGAUCAUUGACUGGAGCACAGCCUUCAACAACAUAAUAACGAGUAAGGUCAUCUCUAAACUGCUGGACCUUGUCCUCGGGCCUUCAUCUACUGCUGGCCUUCCUGACCCGCAGAACUCUGUUGGUUAGAAUUGGUCAUAACAUUUCCUCCUCCCUGACCCUCAACAUUGGUGCCAUGCAGGAUUGUGUGGUCAGUCCACUGCUCUUCUCCCUGUACGGGUGUCAGAGGUUAUGAGGAGAAGUAAAGAGAAUGGGGUUAUCAGGGAGAGAUAGAUCAGCCAUGAUUGAUUGGCCUAAUUCUACUCCUAUCACUUAUGAGCUUAUGACACCCAUCAGUGUGAGGCCAAUUCUUGCGGCAACUCGAUAUUUAAGUUUGCAAAUGAUAUAAAAUUAUAAAAGGACUGGAUAAGCAGGAUGCAGGAAAAAUGUUCCCAAUGUUGGGCGAGUCCAGAACCAGGACUUAGAAUAAAGGGGAGGUCAUUUAAGACUGAGGUGAGAAAAAACUUUUUCACCCAGAGAGUUGUGAAUUUAUGGAAUUCCCUGCCACAGAGGGCAGUGGAGGCUAAAUCACUGGAUGGAUUUAAGAGUUAGAUAGAGCUCUAUGGGCUAGUGGAGUCAAGGGAUAUGGGGAGAAGGCAGGCACGGGCUAUUGAUAGGGGACGAUCAGCCAUGAUCACUAUGAAUGGCAGUGCUGGCUCGAAGGGCCGAAUGGCCUCCUCCUGCACCUAUUUUCUAUGUUUCUAUGUUACCACUUUAGUCUGACCCAUCAGACAGCGUACAGGAAAGAGAUCGAGAUCCUUGUGUCAUGGGGUCAGAACAACAACAUCUAUAAGAAGAAAGAGUUGUUUACUGACCUAAGGCAUACAGUGUGUAUGUGGAGAAGAAGGCAACGCAACCCUGUCCAUAUCAAUAGAGUUGCUGCAGAGAUGACUGACAGCUUUGAGUUUCUAAGCAUCUAUAUUGCUAGUAACCUAAUCUGGUCUUUCACAGUGGUGUAGUGAUGAAGACAGCAUAUCAGUGUAUUUAGUCUCUUAUGCAUCUGAGAAGAUUCAGGAGGUCCAUGAGGAUUCUCUCAACCUUCUACAUACAUACUAUGGAAGGCUUUCUGAUGGGAUGCAUACACACCUGGUAUACCAAUGGCUUUGACUUCACCACCUGAACUUGCAGGGAGUUGGAAACGCAGCCCAGUCCAUCACAAACUCAUCACAUCCUUACAUUCAGUCCAUCUUCAUGGUGCAUUGCAUUAGGAAGUCUGGAAGUGUUUAAAACAUGCCUGCCAUCCUGUCCAUUCACUUUUCUCUUUAGGAGCUUGAAAGGGUAGACAUAAGAACAGCUUCAUGCUCUCCGAACUGAUAACCUCUUUCCCACCCCCUUCCCAGAGAAGCUUCCACGUACUCCUACUUGAACUCCACCAUUUAUCAGUAUUUUGAUUUUGCACUCUAGUUUUACCCUGCAGUACUUUAUAUUGCACUGCAAACUUUUCAACAUUCUGCUGUUUGGCAUUUGUCAUUAUAUUUAUUGGGAAUAAAUUCCCCUUCUUCUAACCUAUUACAUUGCUACCAUUGACCUUUUUUUUUCUGCACUCUCUCUGUAGUUGUUAUGCUAUAUUCUGCCCUAUGGUUAUUUUCUCUUUUGCACUAUCUGAUGCAUUCAUGUACUGUAUGUUAUGAUUUGCCUGCUAAUCCAACCAUACAUGAGCAUGCAAAACUAAGUGUUUGACUGUAUCUCAGUACACGUGACAAUAAUAAACCAACACCAAUUAUUGUUAUAUCUGCCAUUUUCAUGUCUACUGCGUACUCUACGUGGACAAGGAAUUUCAUUUCAGCCUUGUGUAUAUGACAAUAAACUAAUCUAAUUUAAUCUAAUCUAAUCUGUUUUAGAUGACCUAACCUAAUGAGAUCUUUUCAAUGGUCUCAAUGCAUUCUAUGUUCAUCCAUCAGGAUGUGCAUCUCUUGUGUGGUGAGGCAGUCUAUAUUUUGUUUUCUUUGCCCUAGUGGCUGCCAAGAACUGACAAUAUUAAUCUGAAUGGUGAAUGACAGAUUUGAUUGUAAAUCAUGCCCAUAGGGCCAAAAGUAAACAUCUCCAAAGCUCUGUGUACUUGGCCAGCUGCACAUGUGCAAUUAAGGCUGGACUAAAGUCUAAGUUUCCGAUAUACUGUUUAUGCAAACAUUGUGGACAUUGGGCUCUAUAAUUGUUUGGCCUGUAUGUUUAUAUUUUUGUGGGGAAUAUAUAUCAAAUAGGAAAUUCAGAUUUUCAAUAUUUAAUUCAGUGAUUGUUGAAUCACACUUCAACAAUUGGAGUCAUAGUCAUACACCAUGGAAACAAGGCCUUUAGCCCAACUUGCCCACACCAACCAACAUUCCCCCCCCCUACACUAGCCCCAUCUGCCCACAUUUAGCCCAUGUCCCUCUAAACCUAUCCAAUCCAUACAAUAUGUAAUUCAAUGAUGUAUUGCCAUCCCAUAUGUUCAGUUUAUUGCUUAUCGGUUCUGCUAAAAAUGAAGUUAAAAUCAGCAUGGUCAAUGCAUGAAGGUCCUUAUUGUUGGGUCAAUAUAGAUCCUUGAAUGAAGAUUUUAAAAUGGUUCAUGCUUCAAAUAUUUAACUUGUGGAUCGCUAUUUCAAUGAGAAAUCCAUGAUUCUUUUUUUGCUUCUCUGGUUGAAAAUAAAGUGGAAGACAGACUGAAAUAAGAUCCUGAAGAAUAAGGCAGAAACGAUGACAUCACAGUAAUGCAUUGUUGGCCACGGCAGAUGAAGAUUACAGGAUGUGCAAAAUAUAACUUCCUCUGACCCACACGUAUAAAUAUAAACACAGCUGUUCUUAAUUAUGCAAAAAAAUCAUUGAAAUGCUGGUCUCAGGGUAUUAUUUAAAUUACUUUAAAAAAAGUUCAAAUUCUCAGCAUAGGUAGUUUUGCAAUAUGUCGUCAUAAUAGUAUUGAUAAUGGAAUUUGACCAGCAAAGUGAUUUUGGAAAGAAUAGCUUUGUUAUCUUUCUCUGGUAAUUCAGCACUGAUAUACUACUUUAUAAACAUUGCUACAUGCACUGGCCUGCUGGUCAGCAGCAACAGGCUACACGUCGAUGGAGUUUGGUGCAAUCUCAACUCUCAAAGACGUUUUAGAUUUUUUGCGUUAAUUUAUAUGAAUUGACUGUGUGAGGGGUAUAUAUAUAAAAUAUAAAUGCAAUCAACUAUAACUAGACAGCACUUUGCUCAGAAGGCAUAUAAAUGAUGUAACCUACAAACAUGCCAUUGCUUUUUACCAUUGCAUGUUGGUUGAACUGAUUUUCUGUCUUCUCUCCCAAAUAUCAGCUGUAUAACAUCUUCCCAUCUUUUAUUCUAGUGGGAAUUUGAAUUGGUCUGGCAUUUUUAACAAUGAAUUCCGUGCAUGCAUGCAUAAAUAAUUAUGCAUAUUAUCUUCCUUCAGAAAAUUAUUUAGAAAGCUAUACAAAAUGGUUAUUUGUUUACCUAGGUGAUCUUGUAGAGGGGAGAAUGCUGAUAGUAGCCAGUCAUUCUGAGUUCCCUAAAAGCCUGGUAGUUAGUAUUUGAACUUGUAUCUUCAAUCAAAGGUGCGGGGUAUAUUUACAUCUUUCAUGGUGCAGUAGAGGCAACUCUUAUCUAUCUACACUAAUAGUUCAAUGGUGGAAACUGUGUAUGUGUUGCCUUCUUCGCCUGUCAUGGGGACAAAUCUACGUUUCCUCCUGAUGGAGGAUGUGUUUAUAUUCCUUGUGAAUGGAGAUGAAAGAUUGGUCAAUAUUCCUCAAGGUCCACUGGCGAGGGAAUGUGUCAUGUUGCUUAAUCUAAUAGUGAGAAGUUUCCAAAUAAGGUAUGUAGCCUUGUUUCCCAGAGUUAAUGGUGACAGGGGUGGAGGUGGGGGAGAUAGUAGAAGCAUUUUAACCCUUCUAUCAUUUUGAUGUAAACGUGGGUAUAGUAGUUACAUUUUAACAUGUUAAUUACAGUUAGGUAUCAGACCAGAAAUUUUUAAUUUGUCAGAAAUGUCCUAAUUUAUUUGUGUUCUGACUGUUUAAUCUUAAUAUUGUCUGUAAAGUACUGAAAACAUUUGUAAUGAAAAUAAAAUGGCUAUUGCCGUUUGCAUACCCUCAAUAUUAAAGCAUAUUAUUAAUAUUGUAUGUAGUUAAUUUUUAUAAAAAAUCAGAAAUGCCAGAACAUUUUAGCUACACCAACCAUCUUAUAAGUUUCUGGUAAACCUUUCCAUUCCCUGCUCAACAUGCUGACAAACAUGUUGUGGAAGCCAUUUGUAUAAUAUGAAUGAUCUGUCAGAUGAAAAUAAGCUAAAUAUAUAACAAUAGAUGGUGUAAUGGGUCAAUGGUGAACCGCAGCAUGGUUGCAUACUGGUAAUUUUCAACACAGCAAGUUUUACAUCUCAACCCUGCCGUCCAGGAAAGGAGAAAUAAAGAGGUCACCCCUCACUGCUCCCCUAUAUCCCGGGGACACCACUUCAAAUAGGGAGAGGUCUGGAGUGGAUUUUUUCAGGAGAUGGUGAUUACUGUAAAACACUACAACGGGAUUGCAAGUGUUAAAAAUGAGGAGCAGUAUCAGUUUCAAAAUGGGUUCAAUUUUCAAAAGAUGGUCAUAACAGUCUGAAGUAUUUUCCAUUUAUUUGGAAAGCUCUUCCAUUGUGAUUUUAUAAUAACUUGGGAGCCAAAUAUUUUACUAAAUAAUUUACAGUGAUAAACACAAUUCAAUUUUCGAGGAGACCAGUUAUUCAGUUAACAGGAACUGACAGUACAUGCCUUUGGUAAUAUAAUCAGCUGUGGUCAUAUCAUUCUGGGUGUUAUUUUGCUCACAACUGUGUGCAAGUGCUUAUUUAGAUCUUUCCCAUUAAUCUUUGCUUUUAUGAGCUAUUUCAGCCCGUCAUUCUUAUCUGUUUUAUCUCACUCAACUUUUUAGGGGGGGAUAUGUAAUAGUGCUGAAGUGAAAGGAAAAGGAAGGGGAAAUCAUAUAAACUGAUUGUCAUUAAAUAAUCAUCAAUCAUAAAUUAAAAUAUUUUCAUAAAAUUACAUGCAAAUGUUAUGUAGUUUAAGAUUUAAGAUGUCAUUGUAUUUUGGUACUUUGUAACGUAUAGCAGUGGUAAUCUUUAUGAUUAUAAACAUGAGAGUACAAACAGCUGUUAUAAGGGAGACAUUUUAACAUACAGUAGCUGCCGGUCAAUAUGUGAGCUGUCCUGAUGAGACUUUCUUAAACCUUAAAUUAAUUCCUCUAUUUGGAAUCUGGUACAUUUAAUGUAAGUGACACAGUGCUGUAUGUUACAGCAGAAUGCUCAAAACCUGUGUUUGGCUUAGCUGUGUAUGGAUUCAACCAAUUCAAUUUUUUCCAAAGGCUGUUUUCAGAAGUCCAGCGUCUUUGGACCAGUAAUAGCACAUUUGCAUUCUAGUUCUUGUGAUUAGGAUGAUGGAACAAGAGGUGUACAUUAAAAAUGCUCCAUCCCCUUUCCCGAGAAAGUCCUUAAUCUGACAUCUAUCUCUGAUAUCUGUCACAUACUCUAAAAUUAAGACACCAACUACAUCCUGAAAACCACCCCUUUUCAAGUAAUAUUCCUUAAAUCUCCUUAUUUGACAGUCCUACCAUUUGCACGGUUACUGUAAUAGGCUUAUUUUUCAGAAAAUAAUGGAUAAAAAGUGACAAGCUAUCCAGUGAAUCUGAAUGCAUAAUUGAUUUAAAGGCAUAAAUUAAUACAAUAAUGCCUUUAUUGUGUGCCAUUGCUGCCAAACCUACAAAAGAGCUGUGGAAUAAAACAUGGUUACAUUCUUUGUGCUGAUAGCCAUCAAUAUGUAAUGCAGAUUAUCCCAAUUCUUCUCAUGUUUCCAGUAUAUGACUGCACUCAACUUAAUUUGAAUUUUUCAUUUCUCUGUUGCACGCUGCCACUCUUCACUGUUUAAACUGCUGCAUUCAAAUGGUGUACAUUUAAAUAAGUAUAUAUAAAAAUGAUACCACGUGCAAUUUUUAAAAGUAUAAAAAGCUUUAUUGAAGGAAGAAUUACAACACGACAGAGUAAAGAUACUGAGUGGACUGCAGCCAAUAUAAAUGCACACAUGGAGAGGAUUUGAAUAUCUGUAUGGGAAACAGCUAGGUAACCAGACUGUAAUGUAAGGAACUUCAUGGGAACAAAGAUGUUAUGAAAAUGAUCAAGAUUAAAGCAUUGCAGAACAAAUCUUAUUGAUUCUACCAGAAAAAAAAAAUAGCAAAAUGGAAAUAUAGAAAAUAUUUAUUUCCUUAAAUAAAAGAAAACAAAAUAGAAGUACCAGCCUUAAAAUUGUUCCUGCAUUACUGGAAUAUUUGCAUUACUCUCUUUGUGUGGUCAUGAAACAAAGCUAGGUAGCAGAUAAAAUAUGGUCAUGCAUUUAGACCCUUGUUACAGGAUAAAUUGCACAGAAUAACAGUAAUAAAAAUAGAAAUGCUGCUUUUAACUAGUCAAUUCCAAUUCUGUGCUUGCCCAAUCGGAGCACAGAAUUCCAGUGAAUCAAAUCACACCCAGUUCAUUCUGGUUAUUUAGAAUUCUUGAUCCGAGCAUAGCAGCUAAAUCAUGCUCCUGAUUGAGGCAUAAAACUUCCCCAAUUAUUUAUGUUUUCACUGACAAGCACACCGCAUAUUGUCAAACAGUUGCUUAAUUUCACAUUGAGGCAGCAGCGCGUAUUAGGAUUCUAAUCUUUCUUUUCCGCAUUAACACCUUUUUGUAAAAGAUCAUUUGUGCUUUCUUGGUGUUUACAUCUGUACGCCGUUUACACAGCCAUGUAGGGACCAUAUUUGCAGAUUUUUAAUGCAAGUUCAGCCUUUUUAUUGUGAUUGACAGUGCACUGAUAUGCAGUCGGUGGACAAGUGGAACAUGACAUGGGAGAAUGCCUUCAAAUGUUCAUCGUCGGGUUUACUCUGGGCAGUCUUGCCACAGGCACCUGUGGCGAGAGGAGGGAAUAGGCUCUCUGCCCAGACCUUGUAGGGCUGCUUUUUUAGGGGGGUUGGGCUGGACAGUUGCCAGUGCUUUUGUUGGCAGCACAGUACAAACCCAUUAGAGAUGCUGAUGACAAUACAGCUUGUCUUCUCUGCAUUCAUAAGCUUUACUCACAUGCACUGUUUUAAAAAAUGAUAAUAAAUUAGUGGGUUUUGAAGUCAUAAUGCAAGAUAAUAAAAAAUGAUAAAGGAUAUUUGACCGCUUGGAUUCAACCAUCAGAUGAGAACACAAUAGAAACAUAGACAUAGAAACAUAAAAAAUAGAUGCAGGAGUAGGCCAUUCAACCCUUCAAGCCAGCACUGCCGUUCAAUAUGAUCAUGGCUGAUCAUCUAAAAUCAGUAUCCCGUUCCUACUUUUUCCCCAUAUACCUUGAUUCCUCUAACCCUGAGCUAAGUCUAACUCUCUCUUGAAAUAGCACCUCUCUUCUCCUGGCUACAAGCCUCCUCUUCCCGCCCCU